rnacentral:sRNA from 1 species
ACCUGGAUCAUGGCUGCCGCGCCGCCGCUACGGGACCGCCUGAGCUUUCUACACCGGGUGAGUGAGGGCGGUCCGCCCGGGCCCCGGUCCCACGGCUCCUCUCGAGCGCCGCAGUCCCCGGACUCGCCCUGGGCCGGAGCCGUUGACCUUGCGUCUCCGUGCCGGGUAGCUGCUCCUGGCCCCUUCGCCCGCGCCGACGCCCCUGAGCUGCCCGCCCGCCCCGCCGUCCCGGGGCCUUCCAAGCCGGACCCGCCGAGCGCAAGGGCGAUGGGCACAGCCAGACCCUGGGGGGAACGAACAGGCCUUGGCCAGCAUUCAGUGGCCUCCGACGGGAGGGAAGGAGCGGCGGACCCGGUGGACGUGGAGCCGCUGUGUCCGUGCUGCUGGCGCCCAGGUGGGCUGGCAGCCCGCCGUCCUCCCUGACGGUGUCAUUUCAGAGGACUCCGGUCCUGGAGAGGCACCUCUGGGUUGCAGAGAACACAGACAUCUCGAAGGGACAGAGAAGGACGCACCAUUAUUUCGGCCCUUCCAACUGAAAGGCUU